UACGUAGGGGGCUAGCGUUGUCCGGCAUCAUUGGGCGUAAAGCGCGUGUAGGCGGUCCGGUAAGUCCGCUGUGAAAGUCGGGGGCUCAACCCUCGAAUGCCGGUGGAUACUGUCGGGCUAGAGUGCGGAAGAGGCGAGUGGAAUUCCUGGUGUAGAGGUGAAAUGCGCAGAUAUCGGGAAGAACACCCGUGGCGAAGGCGGCUCUCUGGGACGGUACUGACGCUGAGACGCGAAAGCGUGGGGAGCGAACAGG
rnacentral:rRNA from 1 species